rnacentral:rRNA from 1 species
GACGAACGCUGGCGGCGUGCCUAAUACAUGCAAGUCGAACAGUGGCGAACGGGUGAGUAACACGUGAGUAACCUGCCCUCCACUUUGGGAUAACUCCGAGAAAUCGGGGCUAAUACUGGAUCGUGGGGGAUGGGCUCGGGGCCUGUCAGUUUGUUGGUGAGGUAGUGGUCACGACGGCGUGACGGGUAGCCGGCCUGGGAGGGCGACCGGCCACACUGGGACUCGGGCACGGGCCAGACUGCAACGGGCGGCAGCAGUGGGGGAUAUUGGGCGAUGGGCGAAAGGCGGAUGCAGGGACGCCGGGUGGGGGAGGACGGCCUUCGGGGUGUAAACCUCUUUCAGCAAGGAAGCGGUACCUGCAGAAGAAGCGCCGGCUAACUACGUGCCAGCAGCCGCGGUAAUAC